ACAUUCGGAUAUAGAAGAAAAAUCACACAGCACAUUCAAGAAGCUUCUUUUGCAAUGAGGAAGAAUUAUACAAAGCAGUUUUUGCUUAAAGACGACCCAUUUAUCCAGAAAGUGAACACAGCCCUCCACAUCCUUGUAUCUGAACAGAAGCCAAUCUUCAAGAGGAAAAACAGAGAACAAAAGUCUGGUGCUUUAGCUGAAGAAAACUUUCCUGCAAAGAAUCCUUUCCGUUCCUCUAAUUUACAGGAAAGCAUUCUUUUCCAGAUGAAACAAUCUGCAAACACUUCUAAAACCAGGACAACUGAUUACCACUUCUACAAGUCCAGAGUGAAAGACACCGCAGCCUGGAAGCAAGCAGAAAAAUGUCAUGCCCUAUUACAACAAAUUAUAAGAUUUCAAACAGAAGCUGUACUUUCUUCCUGUACAGUUUUUUUUAUUUCUACCUUUCUGCAGCAACAACAACAAAAGCUGUGUGGACCAGAUACCUGCAUGGCCCCUACCCAAUGAUCUAAAUGAGCGUUUGUCAAAGGGCCAUACAAAAAGAUGUGGCUUUGUGUUAGUAAUUUCACCAUAGGCAUCACCCAGGUCACAACCACUGCUGUUAGACAGAAAAGAUAUAUCCGGUGUCUGUUAUUGUCUUUUCAUGAUGAAUUCCAGGAAUAAACUAACUUGCUGUAUGUUUUUAAUUAUAUUAAAUCUCCAUAGCAAAGAUAAAGAGAUUUUAAAUGAGAUUAAGUCUGUGAGAUCCUGAGUUCCUGUAGAUUACUCUGUGUGGGUGCAUCUUGAAAAUGAAAUGUUUGACAUGCUUAAAAAUACUGGGCUGAUGUACGCU
rnacentral:lncRNA from 7 species